UCUCUUUUUUGCCUGGAAUCUCUAAAAGCUGUGUAGGCUGUGAAAGAGUUUCACAGAUUCCGAUGAAGGGCAAUCACUAACCAUAAAUGGCAACUUCAUUUACACAUCUUCAGCUGCCACUGACUCGGGAGAUUUGUCAUCCCAUCUUCUAAUUUAGUGAAGGUUCAAGAAAUUUACUUGAGUGGCUCUGAGCUCGUUUAUCACUGCAAUAUGACCCAUACCGAGCUCUACAGAUAACAAAGUACUAAAAUUCCUCUGGUGUGAAAAAGAAGAGAGACACCUUAAAAACCACAGCAGCAGGAAAACAGACAGAGACAGUAAGUCUUAAUUAGAGCAGCUGCCAUCUGCCUGCACACUUUCUGCCUCACGUAAAGUUUCACAGAGCCUCUGGAAUGCCUUCUCCAGGCAGCGGCUGGUACGAUCCUACCUCCCUUCAUUCCCCAGGCAGGGAGUUAAGAUACAUCCUGUCAGCAGGUCUGGCUAACAAACUAUAAAUAAAACACGAGGCACACAUAGCAAGGCAAGACUAAAUUUUUCCUUUUAUUUCCAGAUAAAUUUAGUAUACAGUUGUCAAAACAACCACAACCCCUGGAUGCUUAAGGAUCUGUCCUGUGCAGCAGGGGAUGAGACACUCCAGUGCUCCAUUGCCACAGACUGGGCACACUGCAGCCAAAUGGGAGUGUACAAAACCAACCCGGUUCCUGCCCUUGGAACAAUUCCCUACCUAAGGCACCUUGUUUUUCUAUGCAAAUACAUGCUUCGAGUCGUUUCUCCCUGUUGCCAACAGUAAGAGACUAUCCCAGCUUUCCAGGAAACAAAACAGAGGAAUUUCACCAAUUAAGAACAACUGUUCAUUUUUGGUGGUUUUGAAGAGAACCAAAACCUGUCAAAACACCACUUUUGGUUACAGGGAGAUAGCUCACAGCCUGUUUCUCACAGAGGCUAUCCAGCACCCUGGGAUCAUGUGCACAUCCCUUAAUGCAAGGACUGACACUGUAGUCAAGACAUUCUCCAUCUGCUCAUCCAUUUUGAGGGGGAUUCCAGGCUUUCAGCAUAGCUGGUGGUGCCUGCUAUCACAGAUCAUCCCUCACCUCAUCCUGCUGCACCAGGUGGAGAAAGUUUGUCCUCUUAUUUAUCAAAUCCUCUGCAAACAAAUGUGUCUUCUCAUUAGAGUUCAGGAUAUAUGGACAAAUAUGCCCUGGUGCAAAAAAAAGGAAUGCUGAGGACAGGUGCUUAAGGUUAAACCGGUCUACAUUCUUCUGGGGAACAGAAGUGAAAAAUUAAACACUAGAAAAUAAAUGGUCAGCUCUUCAGGGAUCAGCAUGCACAGAAGUGCAGAUCACAGUUAAUAUCUAACUACAGUGCUCUGCAUUUCUUGUAGUGCCAUGGUUAUAACAUCACUCCAGCUUCACAUCCACCUUUUAAACUCGGCCAAGAAAUACAAAUGGAACAGGCACCAAGACCCAAAACUGCAGAGCUAAAAUGGACUUUACAUACAGAUAAUUUAAUCCACUAAUUGGCCCCACUAGAGUCACUGUAUCAUAUUCUGCAACUCCAUUUAAAAACUCCUCCAUGAAUCAGGCUGCUUUCAGCACUACUGCUUUGAUUGCAGUAAUUGCAAAAGAAUCUUCUUCCCAUGCUGGAGCUCCAUGUAGGGCUUUAAAAUACUUCACUGCCCAGGAAAGAGGGAGUCACAACAUGGAAGCACUCCAUAUUGAAGGACUGGUUUGGAAAUAAAAGCACAGGAUAAAGGUGGAGAAGCACAGGGAGCUGCCACCCUUCAAUGCAUACAAACUGUCUGCACUUAGUGUGACAUCUAAAGGAAAGGGAGAUCCAUCCAUCAUCUCAUCACAAACCAGACUCAGUGUAACACCAGACACUGGGCUAAAUGCAAGGUCUGAAGAAACAGCAGCUGGAUGGCUGGCACUGAACCAUUUACACAUUACCUGACAGGUUUUUAAGUCUCCAAGGACUACGCCCCUAUCAGCCAGGGAAAGUUUAGACCUUGGGAAUAUACUCUCUGAAUUAUUGUGACAUCCCCUCUGAAAUAUGAGAACCUGUGGGAAAAGCUGGCAAUAACUACAGCUCUCAAGAAACAACCCUCUGCAUUUGUAGCAAUGGUACUCCUGCACCUCAGAAAAUAUACCCUUGACCUGCCACAGAGAAAGAUUUUUCCCAAUUUCCUCGAGAAGAAUGGGAAACGUUGCCACCCUGGCCUUUGUUGUGUGUCUGAAGAGCAGGCAGCAGUGGCAGAAGGCAGCUCCUAGGGAAGGCUUCCACUUUUCACAAGGUGUUUAUUUUCCCUGUGGACAGGGCACAAGGAGCUCAGUGCUGGUGUGAGGAGUGGAAGGGGAUGGAUGGCUGGAGCAGGAAGCUCCCCACAUGCUGCCUGCUCCAGCCAGCCAUGGAGAACAGGUUGGGAUGUAUGCAUUCCUGCGGUGCCUGUAGCCAUUAUGAUGACAGAGCACAUUCCAUUUUCCUGCUCAGUGUCCUGUUCACUGCUGGGUGAUCUUGACACCAUCACAGCACAGAAAAGCUUUCAAGUCCUGAUUCCAAUGAAGAUCUUCCUGAGAAGAGGAAGAAAGCUGUGAUCUCAGUACUGAGGCAACUUUUGAAACUACAACUAUGGACAGAAACAGGAGGGGCAGAAGCAGCCACCCUCAGCUCCCAGAUCUGUGCCAGUGAGCAUACUCAGACAGCUCUUCAAGAAUGGCAACCCUCAACAUCACUCACUGGAAUGAGACUACUACAUCCAUUUCCCAAUAUCUGGGCUUCCAAGUGCAAAAAAUUUACCCUUUCCAUGACAACUGGAACACUGCCUGCUUUGUUAUCCUGAUCAUAUUCAUCUUCACUGUAGUUUUCCUGGUGGUGCUGGCUUUCCUGUAUGAGCUGCUGGACUGCUGCUGCUGUGCGAAAAACAAAACUGUGAAAGACUUGGAGAACGAGCCCAAUCCCGUCAGGGCAAUGAUGAACAGCUUCAGGAAGCGUGAGACAGAGGUGGUGUAGGAAGCACUGAGCACCUGCACUUGGAGAACUUGGUUUGACACCACCAAUGAAGCCUCUUGCACCUUACAAACUAACAAGUCAUGUGUUUUUUUCUUUUGGACUUAAAUAUCCACGGUUGCAAUUUUAUCUCGGGAUGUGAGCUGGAAUAAUUGGCAAAGGCUUUCCAAGUGCUUAGCAGAAAGACAAUCUGUUGCAGUGUUAUGGGAGGGGAAAAAGAUUUUUGGUUUUAGAUGAACUUUUGCUGUUUAUAUUGAGUGACUAGCAUAGAAUUUUGUCUACCUGACCGAACAAAUGUUGCCUAAUAUGCAUAAAAUGGUGUUGCUUAACCGAAGAAAACGUUUAUAAAAUGUUCAACAGUCUGAUCACAUUCAGUGCAAAGACAGCAGUGUUGUCCCAUUGAGUCAACCACACAGGGACAGGAUAGAGAAGGGGUAAGAAAAAAGUUGGGAGAGAAGGGUUGAAUGGCAAGAGACCCUUCAGGCAGGAGAGGAUGGGGUGAAUUCUAGCCUUUGGCAGCAUUUUUUAUUAUGGGUUUCUUGCUUUUACAAGAGAGGGAGGUGGGAGGAAACUAAGCCAACAAGAAAUGUACUCCUAAAAUGGUCUUUUCUAGUCCUCCUAAGGGGAGUUUGACCCUUUCUUCCCCCACUUCUCCAGUUCCAGGGAACUGUUCUCCCCUUACUUCAUAUGCAGUCUGACCAACAAUUUCUGGGUGUUGAGACCUGUGUAACCCAUUACCUUCAGAAUAUCUGACCCUUUCCAAAAGUCCUGCUGGAAAUGAACAGGGACAAUUCUCUGCCCCAAGGCUGCUGCUUCUGUGGCAACCACAACACUACAGGGAGUUGGACAUGCUGGAUCUAUCAUCCCUACCCCAGUCUUUCAAAGCAAACUGGAACUGAUGCAGUUCUUGCCAAGAAUGCAGGGAGAUGUGCCACAGACCUCCCCCACUGAAGAGGGGGAUGCCACCCGGCCCACGGGCAGCUUUCAGGUGCCAACAUGUUUCACAGAGGAGGCCACACCAGGAUCAGCCCUGUGCUAGAGAGGGCAGCUUCACUUUGGAAAAGAGAAUCUCCCUCGACUUCAUCUGCCUGCUGACACACCCCAGAGCUCACACUCACCCCCUCCUCAUGUCCUGACCACAGAACUCUCACACCUCUGCCUCACCAGCCCUCUGCAGCUGUGUUGUGCCUGUGAUUUUCAAAACCAUUCAAGUUUUGCAGUUAACAACUGACAACUGUAAUAACAGUGUCCAACAGCGCGGCCAUCAGCAACUCCUGGCAAGUCCUUCACACUCCUGAACCCACAGAGAAACGCUCUAGAGCAAAGCUACACGUGGGACAAGUUAUUUAACUGUAUUAACCCCAGAAAACAUUCCUGCCAUGAAGGAAACAAAACCCACCUAAACAGCCACAGCCAUAAGUGACCUCACAGUCCAUCCAUGCCCAAAAAAAUCUUUGUGCUAAGGCCAGUACCUAUAAUGAUCUCUUUUUUUAUAUAUAUGAAAUCCCUCUCAGGCUGACUAAGCUCCAGAAGAACUGGACACAAUGGAAGACUUGCUAAUUGACACGUGCUGCUCCUGGUUGGUGAGAUGGAGUCACUCAGGGCACUGCAAACAAGCACAGCUAGUCCAGUGAUUCACCUGGAAGCAAACUCCCUCCUGCAGUCACAGAUCCUCACAACCAUUCGUCUCACACACGCUUCUCACAGUGAGGUUUGGCCAGGACCAGCCCCCCGUGCAGAGAAUGCUUCAAGCUCAAAAUGAAAAGCACAACUGAUGGAAGCCAACGCUCCAAGAACAAGAUAAUUCAGGACUCACACCAAGACAUACAAUGAAGACAAUGUCAGUGGUGAUAACGAAGACACCUUACCCUCUGCUCUAUGUGACAGCAUCAAAUUGGAAAGUUCUGCUCAAGGGGCCAGAGUAGCCAUUGGGAUGCACUGAAUUAAUUAAUGUCUCUUUCCUAAAAGCAAAUGCUCUGGACACUUCCAGCAUUCCCACAAAACGCCCAUCAUGGCUGCACACAAGAGAGCAGCAUGUGCAACGUGCCAGCCUCUGCUGCCCUGGCAAUGCCUUCCCGAGAAGCACACGGAAUGACAAACCUUGGGACUUAUCCCAGCUUUUUAUUUCACAGCUCUGCAAAGGGGGAUGGGUGAGGGCACAAGGAACAGAAGACAAAGGUGUCCCCUUGCACAGUACCAGAGAAGACUCAGGAUGAUUCUUUCCCACAAAACAGCCCCUGAAGAUUUCAGCUCUUGACUACUGUUGGUGGAGACCACUGAGACAAAGGUCUUAGUCUUUGUCUAGCAACAAUUACUAUUGAUU